AUUGAACCGUGGCGGAAUGCUUUACACAUGCAAGUCGAACGGUAGAGGGGGCAACCCCUUGAGAGUGGCGAACGGGUGAGUAAUAUAUCGGAACGUGCCCAGUCGUGGGGGAUAACGUAGCGAAAGUUACGCUAAUACCGCAUACGAUCUAAGGAUGAAAGCGGGGGAUCGCAAGACCUCGCGCGACUGGAGCGGCCGAUAUCAGAUUAGGUAGUUGGUAGGGUAAAGGCCUACCAAGCCAACGAUCUGUAGCUGGUCUGAGAGGACGACCAGCCACACUGGAACUGAGACACGGUCCAGACUCCUACGGGAGGCAGCAGUGGGGAAUUUUGGACAAUGGGCGAAAGCCUGAUCCAGCCAUUCCGCGUGCAGGAUGAAGGCCCUCGGGUUGUAAACUGCUUUUGUACAGAACGAAAAGGUUUCUAUUAAUACUAGGAGCUCAUGACGGUACUGUAAGAAUAAGCACCGGCUAACUACGUGCCAGCAGCCGCGGUAAUACGUAGGGUGCAAGCGUUAAUCGGAAUUACUGGGCGUAAAGCGUGCGCAGGCGGUUAUAUAAGUCAGAUGUGAAAUCCCCGGGCUCAACCUGGGAACUGCAUUUGAGACUGUAUAGCUAGAGUACGGUAGAGGGGGAUGGAAUUCCGCGUGUAGCAGUGAAAUGCGUAGAUAUGCGGAGGAACACCGAUGGCGAAGGCA
rnacentral:rRNA from 1 species